ACUUAGAAAAAGGGAUUCGAUCCAAUCUCUCCGAGAAGCGAUCCAAGAACAGCUUCGAGCUUCCCAACAAACGCCAUGAAUGAAAUGAGAUGCGCCUCGCCGGAACGCGAUCCCGCACCACCACAUCGUCGAAAUCGUUCAUCAAAAACGGAGUCUCGCUGUAAUCUAGUUCGCGUACCUUAUCUUUGGAUCUCAUACGAACACAAGAGCAAGAACGAAGCCAUGAUCUCGUUGCCGGAAUCGAAACGAAGGGAGAAAUUUACCGGAUGAACAAAUUUACGAAGGCACACUCACCAAAUCAACAGAGCUCAAAAAGAUGAAGCAGAAUGAAGAACGGAUUUGGGGAUCGGAACCUCGAAGAAUGGAGUUUUCAAGAGUAAAACUGAGGAGUCAAACUUUAGAGUUUCAGAAGAUUGAAGUUGAAUCAUGAAUUCCCCAUUCCGAAGAUUGAAAGAAGGAAUUCUCAAGAGUGACCGAAUGAAGAAGAUUAGAAAGAAGGUUGACGCAGAAGAUUGGGGAAGAACAAAGCCGGAAGGGAUUGAAGAAUUCCAACAAAAAUGAAAGAUCACGGAAUCAUUAACAUUUCGGAGGAACUGUAGUUUGAAAAUUCGAGCCCUAAUUCCACUCCCUUCAAGUCAACAGAAUGGACUCAAGGCCAAGGACUUCAACCGAUAUCAAGAACAACAUGGAAAUGAGGCUAGAAAUUGGCACAAGUAAUGGAAUGAAAUCAUGACGCCUUGAACAUGAGUUACCAUAAACUGAAGCAACUUACCAGAAUGAAGCGACGCCGAGGCUCCGGUGUCGUCGAUGCCGUUCACAGGGUGUUCGGUUUCGCAUAGCUGUCGCUUGGGACGCUUCCUGCUUGCCAUUCUCAUUUCCUGUUUUUCUGUGGUAUAGAAGUUCUUGUAUGACAAUGUCUCUUCAACAUUAUCAAUCCCACACUUGUCAUUGGCGGAAGCUGUUUUCUUUGUAGCAGAUAGAGAGUAUCGGCCUUCACUUGGAGCAAUACUUCUGAGUAUAAGCCUUUUGACAACACCUUUGUAAGUAGUUAUAAAGCAUAACCACCUGUAUCAAAAGUCCUCUCCUUCAAUAGUUCAGCAUCACUUUGCCAUUUCCCGAGCUUUCUAUAAACCUUCAGCAACUUCAACCGUCACUCUCUGACCCAAACGAACAACCUUACUCGAUUCCACGCACUUGUUAUAGCACCGCUGCGCAUUUUCUACUGUCAUGAGCUUGUUUGGUAUCAUAAUAAGGUUAGGUUAACUUGGAGUUGCAAGGUUUAAUUUGGCAUGUGGAUUGCUGAACUUUGUAGUGAAUUUCUUCGAUCAUGCUUUGGUCCACAUUGCAAUGCAGGAACGGGUGUUGAAUGAUUUUCCAACUGGUUUGUUGCAGCAGGAUGUUUGUUUGGCUCAGUACCGAAUUUGAGGCAGUUUGCGUGACAUUUGCAGGUAGACUAUCUUGAGUGCAGGUCCAUUGGCAUAUUACAGAAUGGUGGCGCAUCCUGCAGAAAUGGCAUGCCCUUCAUGUCACCUGGUUUGGCCUGUGCAUAAAUGCAAGCUGCUUGUUUUAUUUGCUCACUUUUCUUGUACAUGAAUGGUUCUGCAGGUAUGUCAGGUGGUCCGUUCCAAUGCUUAUUUUGAUUCUUUUGCUGUGAAAUGAUUUGUCUUGCCAUGAGAUUGUGCUCACUGGUGGAUCUGGUUAAAAUGGUAAGUGCAGUGAAAAUGUUUUGUUGAUGUGCUUACUGCUUUGCUUCUUGGCGGAUGACCGUAAUUCUCGCUGAACUUACGACAGGUUUUGUUCCCACAAGCAUCAUUAGUCAUAGAGUUAUGGUGUAUGGUUCCUUAUAACCUGCAGAUGCAGGUUUUGCUGCGAGUUGGCGGUUAUCAAUUGUUCGACGACCAUGUCGCUCGGCCAAGGUAGGUAACAGGCUUUGUUGGAAUUCGCCUGGAAGCUGCGAGCAGCGGGAUGGUUAGUGCAGGGUAUUCCAGCUUUGUUGAAGCAAAGAGUUUGAUUCAGGAUCAUAGGACUUCUUUGUUGCGGGAAUACCCGCCGUUACAUGAUAGCUAUUGAAGAGCUUGUAACAGGUAGUGCACCGGAAGUAAGCAAAGCGGAUUCUGCCAUGGCAAUGUGAGGGUCAUGAGAAGAACUGACGGCAGCUUCUGAUUCAAUUGGAUGAGGUUGUUUUGGCUAUGAUGCAUAUAUCCAUAUUGCAUGCUAUGAUACAUUUGAUAUGGCAUUAGCUUGUAGUUGGUACGGAGAUAAAGCUAUGUGCUUGAAUUUUGUACAUGCCAACUUUGAGUAGCCACAAAUCGGUAGGAGGAACAGUGACUUGAAGUUGGUCUUGCCCAUGAUUACACUGCUGAACUUGCGAUGCAUUUGCUAUGGAAGAUGAGCCUAAUGUGGGAUAAGUUACAAUUGGUUGUCUAAAUAAACUUUACCGAAGUAUGACAAAUCUUGACAAUGAGCGCAUGAAAAACUAAGAUAAAUAAAGACAUGCUAUUGAAUCCA